rnacentral:tRNA from 1 species
UGGCGGUUCGAUCCCGUCAGCGCCCACCAUAAUUUGUGACCAUACUUUAUUUUUAAAGUAUUGCAAGUGCAGCGGUAGUUCAGUUGGUUAGAAUACCGGCCUGUCACGCCGGGGGUCGCGGGUUCGAGCCCCGUCCGCUGCGCCACUUUUAUAAAACGCUUUUGCAGGGCGCUUAGCUCAGUUGGUAGAGCGUCUGCCUUACAAGCAGAAUGUCGGCGGUUCGAUCCCGUCAGCGCCCACCAUAAUUUUUUCAAAUUUAAAAAAUUAAACACGCUAAUUUAUUUAGUGUUUUUUGCGUUUCUGCUCUUCCUAUUUUUUAUCUAUCUAUUUUAUCUUUUUUGGUUAACUCUCUCUUUUCCAUACUUAAUUUUUGAGUUCGAAUUAUUAUUACUAUCGAGUUUAACUAAAGCUGCCAUGCUGUAACGCAAUAGCAGCUUUGUAAACUAAGAUUAAUACUCA